GGAUGGAUGUCCGAGUGGUUUAAGGAACCGGUCUUGAAAACCGGCGUGCGUGGAAACGUACCGUGGGUUCGAAUCCCUCUCCAUCCGC
rnacentral:tRNA from 1 species